ACGGGAGGCAGCAGUGGGGAAUUUUGGACAAUGGGGGCAACCCUGAUCCAGCCAUGCCGCGUGAGUGAAGAAGGCCUUCGGGUUGUAAAGCUCUUUCGGUGGGAACGAAACGGGUGGUGCUAAUACCAUCACUCAAUGACGGUACUCACAGAAGAAGCACCGGCUAACUACGUGCCAGCAGCCGCGGUAAUACGUAGGGUGCGAGCGUUAAUCGGAAUUACUGGGCGUAAAGCGUGCGCAGGCGGUGCACCAAGCUCGAUGUGAAAGCCCCGGGCUUAACCUGGGAAUUGCAUUGAGGACUGGUGUGCUCGAGUGCGGCAGAGGGGGGUGGAAUUCCACGUGUAGCAGUGAAAUGCGUAGAGAUGUGGAGGAACACCGAUGGCGAAGGCAGCCCCCUGGGCCGACACUGACGCUCAUGCACGAAAGCGUGGGGAGCAAACAGGAUUAGAUACCCUGGUA
rnacentral:rRNA from 1 species